UACGUAGGGCGCAAGCGUUGUCCGGAAUUAUUGGGCGUAAAGAGCUCGUAGGCGGCCUGUUGCGUCCGCUGUGAAAUCCCGGGGCUCAACCCCGGGCCUGCAGUGGAUACGGGCUGGCUAGAGGCAGGCAGGGGAGAACGGAAUUCCUGGUGUAGCGGUGAAAUGCGCAGAUAUCAGGAGGAACACCGGUGGCGAAGGCGGUUCUCUGGGAAUGACCUGACGCUGAGGAGCGAAAGUGUGGGGAGCGAACAGG
rnacentral:rRNA from 1 species